rnacentral:rRNA from 1 species
GACGAACGCUGGCGGCGUGCUUAACACAUGCAAGUCGAACGGUGAAGCGCCUUCCUUUUUGGUGGGUGUGGAUGAGUGGCGAACGGGUGAGUAACACGUGAGUAACCUGCCCCCUUCUUCUGGAUAACCGCAUGAAAGUGUGGCUAAUACGGGAUAUUCUGGGUCUGUCGCAUGAUGGGUCUGGGAAAGAUAUUGUUUCGGUGGGGGAUGGGCUCGCGGCCUAUCAGCUUGUUGGUGGGGUGAUGGCCUACCAAGGCGGUGACGGGUAGCCGGCCUGGGAGGGUGGACGGUCACACUGGGACUGAGACACGGCCAAGCCUCCUACGGGAGGCAGCAGUGGGGAAUAUUGCACAAUGGGCGCAAGCCUGAUGCAGCGACGCCGCGUGAGGGAUGGAGGCCUUCGGGUUGUGAACCUCUUUCGCCAGUGAAGCAGGCCUGCCUCGUUUGUGGGUGGGUUGACGGUAGCUGGAGAAGAAGCGCCGGCUAACUACGUG